rnacentral:rRNA from 1 species
GACCUAGCGGCGGACGGGUGAGUAAUGCUUAGGAAUCUGCCUAUUAGUGGGGGACAACAUUCCGAAAGGAAUGCUAAUACCGCAUACGCCCUACGGGGGAAAGCAGGGGAUCUUCGGACCUUGCGCUAAUAGAUGAGCCUAAGUCAGAUUAGCUAGUUGGUGGGGUAAAGGCCUACCAAGGCGACGAUCUGUAGCGGGUCUGAGAGGAUGAUCCGCCACACUGGGACUGAGACACGGCCCAGACUCCUACGGGAGGCAGCAGUGGGGAAUAUUGGACAAUGGGCGAAAGCCUGAUCCAGCCAUGCCGCGUGUGUGAAGAAGGCCUUUUGGUUGUAAAGCACUUUAAGCGAGGAGGAGGCUACCGAGAUUAAUACUCUUGGAUAGUGGACGUUACUCGCAGAAUAAGCACCGGCUAACUCUGUGCCAGCAGCCGCGGUAAUACAGAGGGUGCGAGCGUUAAUCGGAUUUACUGGGCGUAAAGCGUGCGUAGGCGGCUUUUUAAGUCGGAUGUGAAAUCCCUGAGCUUAACUUAGGAAUUGCAUUCGAUACUGGGAAGCUAGAGUAUGGGAGAGGAUGGUAGAAUUCCAGGUGUAGCGGUGAAAUGCGUAGAGAUCUGGAGGAAUACCGAUGGCGAAGGCAGCCAUCUGGCCUAAUACUGACGCUGAGGUACGAAAGCAUGGGGAGCAAACAGGAUUAGAUACCCUGGUAGUCCAUGCCGUAAACGAUGUCUACUAGCCGUUGGGGCCUUUGAGGCUUUAGUGGCGCAGCUAACGCGAUAAGUAGACCGCCUGGGGAGUACGGUCGCAAGACU